rnacentral:rRNA from 1 species
AGUUUAUAAGAAUGGUGGAACAUGUGGUUUAAUGCGAUAAUCCACGAAAAACCUUACCAAUAUUUAAAAUUAAGUUAAACUAAAAUAUUAAUUUAUUAUUAAGUUAACUUAAUUUCGGUACUGCAUGGCUGUCGUCAGUUCGUGUUGUGAAAUGUAGAAUUAAGUUUUUACUACGAACGUAACCUAGUUUUUAUUUAUUUUAAUUAUUUUUUAUAAUAAUUAAAACUAAUAAAUAGUUAAUUUGAAUUUUUCAAAUUUUUGGUUAUAGCUGAAGUCAAGUCCUUAUGGUCUAUAUAUAUUGGGCUACACACGUGUUACAAAGGCAAAAACAAAAAGUAACGAAUACGCGAGUAAGAGUAAAUCUUAAAAAAUUGCCUAAGUUCAGAUUAUUUUAUGUAACUCUAAAAUAUGAAGUUGAAAUCGUUAGUAAUUGUAUGUAAUUAUAAUACAGUGAACUAAAAGUCAAAUUUUGCACACACUGCCCAUCACGCUCGAAAAAUUUUAAUAAAUUGAAAAUAAAAUAAAAUAAAUUCUAAUUUUUUUAGAUAAUUAGUUUUAUUUAUUGUAAUUUAUUAAAGUGAUUU